UUCCGGUGGGGGAGCCGGCGGGCUUCCGCGUUCCCGGCGCGGGAACACGCCCCGGCGUCCCGCGGCCCGGCCCCGCGUCCGGUGU
rnacentral:tRNA from 1 species